UGAACGCGCUGGCCGCGGACCUGCUCGCCCGGCCGAUGUCACUGGCCGUCGUCGGGCCGUUCGAGCCGGCCGCGUUCGG
rnacentral:tRNA from 1 species